GAUAUGAACGCUGGCGGCAGGCCUAACACAUGCAAGUCGAGCGGAUGAAGGGAGCUUGCUCCUGGAUUCAGCGGCGGACGGGUGAGUAAUGCCUAGGAAUCUGCCUGGUAGUGGGGGAUAACGUCCGGAAACGGGCGCUAAUACCGCAUACGUCCUGAGGGAGAAAGUGGGGGAUCUUCGGACCUCACGCUAUCAGAUGAGCCUAGGUCGGAUUAGCUAGUUGGUGGGGUAAAGGCCUACCAAGGCGACGAUCCGUAACUGGUCUGAGAGGAUGAUCAGUCACACUGGAACUGAGACACGGUCCAGACUCCUACGGGAGGCAGCAGUGGGGAAUAUUGGACAAUGGGCGAAAGCCUGAUCCAGCCAUGCCGCGUGUGUGAAGAAGGUCUUCGGAUUGUAAAGCACUUUAAGUUGGGAGGAAGGGCAGUAAGUUAAUACCUUGCUGUUUUGACGUUACCAACAGAAUAAGCACCGGCUAACUUCGUGCCAGCAGCCGCGGUAAUACGAAGGGUGCAAGCGUUAAUCGGAAUUACUGGGCGUAAAGCGCGCGUAGGUGGUUCAGCAAGUUGGAUGUGAAAUCCCCGGGCUCAACCUGGGAACUGCAUCCAAAACUACUGAGCUAGAGUACGGUAGAGGGUGGUGGAAAUUUCUUGUGUAGCGGUGA
rnacentral:rRNA from 1 species